AGGUAGUGACAAGAAAUAACAAUACAGGGCAAUUGUCUUGUAAUUGGAAUGAUGGUGACCUAAACCCUCACCAGAGUAACAAUUGGAGGGCAAGUCUGGUGCCAGCAGCCGCGGUAAUUCCAGCUCCAAUAGCGUAUAUUAAACUUGUUGCGGUUAAAAAGCUCGUAGUUGAAUUUCUGCGUCACCGUAUUUUGACUUUUGUCGACUGUCGGUUUCGCUUUUGGGAUUUAUCCCUUUUUACUUUGAGAAAAUUAGAGUGUUUCAAGCAGACUUUUGUCUUGAAUACUUCAGCAUGGAAUAAUAGAGUAGGACUUUGGUUCUAUUUUGUUGGUUUGUGAACCUUAGUAAUGGUUAAUAGGAACG
rnacentral:rRNA from 1 species